CCCUUCAGCCCCACGGUGACAUGGGCUGUUAUGUGUUUGAAUGAUUAAUCCUUCCUCUUCCUAUUCCAGGCCAGAAGGGCUGAGGUGCUGUUUCCCGAGGAGCUGUUCCAGGACUAGUGAGGAGCCUUUCCAAGCGUCACAGAAGGACGGGCCAGAGUUAACACGGCAUCGAGUUGUUUGUUGCAUAAUAAAGCUGCUGCUGAUUUCCAA